GGAUUCCCUUAGUAACUGCGAGUGAAGUGGGAAAAGCUCAAAUUUAAAAUCUGACAGUGUUAACUGUCCGAAUUGUAGCCUAGAGAAGUGUUACCCGUGCUGGACCAUGUAUAAGUCUCCUGGGAUGGAGCGUCACAGAGGGUGAGAAUCCCGUCUUUGACAUGGACUACCAGUGCAUUGUGGUAUGCUCUCAAAGAGUUGAGUUGUUUGGGAUUGCAGCUCUAAAUGGGUGGUAAAUUCCAUCUAAAGCUAAAUAUUGGCGAGAGACCGAUAGCGAACAAGUACCGUGAGGGAAAGAUGAAAAGAACUUUGGAAAGAGAGUUAAAAAGUAUGUGAAAUUGUUGAAAGGGAAACGCUUGAAGUCAGUCGCAUUGGUUUGGGAUCAAGUCAGCUCUUUUGCAGACUGUACUUCCUAACUAAUGGGUCAACAUGAGUUUUGACUGCUAGAGAAAAGCUUUGGGAAUGUGGCACCUUUAAGGUGUGUUAUAGCCCCUGGCUGUAUGUAGUGGUUGGGACUGAGGAAAACAGCGUGCCGCAAGGCCGGGUUCGACCACGUUCAUGCUUAUGAUGUUGGCAUAUAAUGGCUUUUAUCGACCCGUCUUGAAACACGGACCAACGAGUCUAACAUGCAUGCGAGUGUUUGGGUGGAAAC
rnacentral:rRNA from 1 species